CUUGAGCGAGCCGAGCAGCAGCGGUCGCUCGCGAUCCUGGCCGUACGUGGCGAGCAGCGCCUGGGCCUC
rnacentral:antisense_RNA from 1 species